UAAAAAAAAUCUGCUGGGUCCCCUUAUUAGUGGCUGCUGCCUAACCUUUUUCCACCACCUAAAUUGCCCAAUUCCACUUAUAAUAGCCAGUCCAUUAAUCCAAAAAGGGGUUUGGGUCUUUUACCCAUAAGUGGAAAUUAAAAUGAUUCCCACAUCUAAAGUUUCACCACUUCAAACGUCUGUAAGUAUACCGUUAUAAUUCGGAACUUUAGCCUAUGCAUUCGUGGGUUCAAGAUUUAUUUAAAAACACUAGUUGUAACUUCGAAAUGUCAACGAAAGAUAAAGAUUGUUUAUGAAACUUCCAACUCGAUAACUAAUCAAUUACUGAACUUAUAAUUAGUGGAAUUAAAAUUAACUAAUAAAGAUAACAUAAUCGCGAAAUACGAAUUUCAAUUUACGAAAUACGUAAUAAAUGGUGAAAUUCCGGGGAUGGGAUUUCACAACUUCUCCCGGCCUAACUGCCAACACCAGAUCCUCGCCCCAGACGGCAUAGUGUCCACUAGGUACGCACAAAUAGUUACGCCUCUCAUAAAUAACAACUUCAUAGUAUAAAGUCAUUCAUCAUCUAUACUAUAAAGAGGGGUUUCUAAAACAUGUUCUAGCAUCCUAUCGUCAUCCAUCAGAUAGUCUACCAGUUCAUGAUUUUUAUAGAAAAUACGAUAUUUUAAAAUAUAACUUAAUAUAGGCCAACAAUUAAUUCCUCACAAAAAACAAGACGAUAAAUAACAUAUUUCAUAAAUCUGCUUAACAUAAAAUCAGUUAAUAAUUCGUAAGGCAUGCAUUUCAUUUAUGCAAUUAAACUAUGAAAUUAUGCAAAUUUUAGAAAGGGUCCACUCACAGAUACUCCUUAGCAGUAGAGUUGUGCGGAUAAGGAUUAUGAAUUCCCUCACUAGCAACUUCACCUAAGCACAAAAAUGUAAUAAAUAAAUAAAAGGAUUUUCUAAAGGAUUUGGACUUGAACUAAAUAAAAUAAAGGAUUUGGUUUGAAUGGGUUAAGGUCUAACGGGUUUUAGGAUCAUAUGAUUUUUGGGUUAAAAGGGUUUGGGGUGAAAAAGAGUGGUUUAGGCUUAAACCUAAACCCACACUCACACACACGCACUGUACACACACACACGCACUGUACACAC
rnacentral:lncRNA from 1 species